AUUGAACGCUGGCGGCAGGCCUAACACAUGCCAGUCGAGCGGAUGAAGGGAGCUUGCUCCUGGAUUCAGCGGCGGACGGGUGAGUAAUGCCUAGGAAUCUGCCUGGUAGUGGGGGAUAACGUCCGGAAACGGGCGCUAAUACCGCAUACGUCCUGAGGGAGAAAGUGGGGGAUCUUCGGACCUCACGCUAUCUGAUGAGCCUAGGUCGGAUUAGCUAGUUGGUGGGGUAAAGGCCUACCAAGGCGACGAUCCGUAACUGGUCUGAGAGGAUGAUCAGUCACACUGGAACUGAGACGCGGUCCAGACUCCUACGGGAGGCAGCAGUGGGGAAUAUUGGACAAUGGGCGAAAGCCUGAUCCAGCCAUGCCGCGUGUGUGAAGAAGGUCUUCGGAUUGUAAAGCACUUUAAGUUGGGAGGAAGGGCAGUAAGUUAAUACCUUGCUGUUUUGACGUUACCAACAGAAUAAGCACCGGCUAACUUCGUG
rnacentral:rRNA from 1 species